UGAGACCACCACAUCAUCAACAUCACUAUUUUAAUGUCCGACCUUUCAAGAUAACGUCGGAUGAAUGGGAACACGAAGAGCAGCGUAGAGAGCAUGUUUGGGGAUAAGUAGAUAAGAAUGACCAUGAUGAACAGGGAAGGUGAGGAACCGCUGUGUCCCCCCAACCAGUUCUUAAUGGUUUCCGCAAUACCGGAAGGGCUUCUCCAGCUGUAUGCGUAAGUUACUGGCAUGAGUACAACCCAUACUGCAGCUGCAAUUGCCUUCAAGAUGAAUCUGAGCUUCGCAUGAAAUGACAUGCUAUGUCUUGACUUCCAGCUCAGAGCUAUAUCAAGGACAGCUGAAAUUUUGGCAACCAGUUCAGAGAAAGAAAAGAGCAUGUCCAGAAAUGCAGAAAUAGAGAAAUUUUUGUACAAGAUAGCUACUAUGAUAGCUACAUAUGGAAAACUUUAAAGCGGUAUGAGUUGACGAAUCAUUACCUUGUGCAAGCUUUAAAAUAGCUGCCGUGAUGAAGAUGCUCAAAACCUUUAGGAAGACAUCACCGUGAAAGAUGGCGCCUAAAUCGCCUGAGCCGUUCCAAGCAAUAAUGAUCAUUGCCUACACAAUACAUAAAUGAAUCAAAACUACAUGUCAUGACAAGAAAGUACAGAUUUGGAGACUGUAUUUAAUGGAAAUUACUAGCCCUACCUGCAAAGACAGGAUAUAGAAACUCCACAUUCUAUCGAAACUUCUAAAGAUAUGCCAGAAGGAGCGUAUCUCAACAAAGUUAACUUUCCCCAUCCAUCGAUCUCCAGUUUUUGGUUUGUCCUGCAGCAUUGUGAACACCAACCAUGAAAUUCUAGAUACACAAAACUUGAGGAAAACAAUAGAACACUUCUACCUAACGUAUAGCAUGACUAGUUGAACUAUAAUUUGAAGUAUAGAACUUGUAUGUUUCUUUAACACAGUAUACACAAGAAGUUGAAAACAACAAAAGAUAAUGAGCCUAGUUUCUUCUACCCUUACCUCACCCUUGUCAAGUCGAAGUUCCUCAGCUGUCUGACAAAAGAAAUCAGCAUCAGCUCGCAUAGGCCACCCUAACCGAAAGCACCGAACUGACCUACAAGUUGAUAAAACAAAGAGCUGUAAGAGACCUGACAUUUUAGAAGGUUACAAGAUAAUUAUGUUCAACGUACCAAAAAUACUCAUUUAAGUCGUCAUAGUUUCUCCAUUCAGAAUGCUUCGACUUUCCUCCUCUACUUCUCUUUGCUUCCUACAAUACACGAAUAUGAUGAUAUAAAAUGGAGGAGAAGACAGCAAAACAAGACAAAUGGUCAAGACUGAAGAACCAAGGCAAUCAACCUUAGCUAUUGUCUUGUAUAUCGGAGUCACGACUUUCUGCAGGAAAGCUUCAUCAUCACCACCAUAUGCUGGUUUUAUAUGCUCCCCUGUUGUUGGACUAACACUCCCAGCCAACAUCCCGUACAAUUCAAAAGCCAUCUACACAAAUUCAUACGAUGAAAAUUUAAACUCAAGUAAGAAAAACUUCCUAGUAAAUGUCAAAUAUGUAUUAUUAAGUUCUAAAUGUUUCAUUUUCUUUGUAUCCACCAUGGGAAAAUUUCACAUACUCACUAAUACUCAACGAUGGCUAUGGUUUACUUCCUCAUCCUUAUAUCUAAUGUUUUGAGCUCUCCGAAGUCCGAAGUUUACUAGUAUAUAGCUACGUCUAAUGUAGUAGCAAAGAUCACCAAGAACUGAACUCACAUGCUCUUCUCUAAAUUCAAAAUGUAAGAUUUCACUUUCAGGAAAACAAACUAGAGGAGAAGCUGAAGACAUACAUGGUGAUAUAUAUAGCAAAGGCAUUCUGGCAUGAAUCUUAGGUUUGCAGCCUCUCCCCAAAUCAAGAGAUAGAGUCCCAUAUAAAGCAGUUUCCGCUGCUGAACCUCUUGUUGAAUCGUCGGCAACCUACAAAGCCUCCUUGUCUUUACUAGAUGGAAUCUGAAAUUGCCAGAACAUAACACAACUUCAAACGGAGCUCUAUCCAACAGAAGUUAUUAACAUUAUUCAUAAAAAUACUGGUCCGUAUCAUGUUUCGUUUGUAAGCAGACCUGAUCGAACUUGCGGGAGAAAGUCGCCCUAAUCCCUCUCUUCUUUGCAGUUUCGCUUUUCUCAUUUGGAACCAAGCAAGCAUUAAAGGCCCCUGGUAAGGACUGAAAUCUAGACCUCAACAUUCCUAGUGUUCGGAUCUGCAAAUUUAAUAAACUUCAUCUCAGACAUUGUUUAUUUUUGUGGGAAACUCAAGAUAUGUUAGCAUGCCACUUCAUCAUAUAAUAACUAAGUUCUAUUUGCAAUAUAAACCUCUCCAAGACGUCGAAAAGCUCCAUUUAAACCCCCAACAAGAGUUGAUACAAUUGCGUACCAUAUCUGGGUGUCCAUGAAAUAAACCUGUAUAUGAAAGUUAGCAUAGAUAUAUGUAGGGGAAGUAUAUAAAGGAAGCAUAUGUUAGAGGAAGCUGUGGCCAACUCACAAGAAUGACAGGUGACCAGAGCGCCACCACAACACCCAAAUUAUUCUUUGCUGAAACAAAAGGAAAAAAAAAAAUAGAAAAUUAUUAUGCAAUGAACUAAUACUGUACCUACACGCUACUAAACAUUACCAUGAGGGAAAAAUUCGUGCCAACGGUACACUGAGAUAUGAACUCGCAUAAUAUCUUUGGUUGGGACGACAAGAGGUUUAAUCUGCUCCAAGAAAUGGAAAGUAUGAGAAACAUAUGUAUUUAAGGGUUGAUAAAAAUGUCACUAGAAUCAUCUCAACAGCUGUUAGUGAAGAGUCUUCAUUUAUAAUAUGCUCCUUACAUAUUGUUCUUGUUAUAUUAAGAAAAAACACAUUCAAGAUAACCGCAAAAUGUAGUACCUCAGCAUAAAAACUGAAUGCAAGCUUUGAUAUCAGAAGGACAACCCAGUACAUCGUGUACCUAAAUAUCAUUACCAAAACCUCGUUAGGCAGUGCGUUGUAAGACAAUCAAACAUUAAUUAUAUUAUAACACUAGCAUGCAAGUUUUACAGUCUUACUUAAAAAGCGACCAUGCACUCUCAUGCAUACCCCUUCCUAUGUAUAGCCUCGGCUGCAUCACCAAGAAACAGAAUCAAGAUUAGCGAUCUUCUUAAAUAGCAUUCAUGAACUAGCGACUUAUUAAGAUUUAUGAAUAAGGUACCUGAGACCACCACAUCAUCAACAUCACUAUUUUAAUGUCCGACCUUUCAAGAUAACGUCGGAUGAAUGGGAACACGAAGAGCAGCGUAGAGAGCAUGUUUGGGGAUAAGUAGAUAAGAAUGACCAUGAUGAACAGGGAAGGUGAGGAACCGCUGUGUCCCCCCAACCAGUUCUUAAUGGUUUCCGCAAUACCGGAAGGGCUUCUCCAGCUGUAUGCGUAAGUUACUGGCAUGAGUACAACCCAUACUGCAGCUGCAAUUGCCUUCAAGAUGAAUCUGAGCUUCGCAU
rnacentral:lncRNA from 1 species